rnacentral:misc_RNA from 1 species
GACUGUCUCCAUCUCAUAUUAAAAAAGACUCGGAAGAAAAUGUGUUCACUUGAUUGUAGCUGAAUUCAUUAAUUUGAAAAAUACUUUGCGGAAAAUUAAACAAAAAUAUUUUUUUAAGUGCUUUAAAGUAUUUGUAAUAUCUAUAUUUUUAGUCUUACUGUCCAGCUUUUAACUACUGGUACUGUUACAUGAACUAUACUGCUAUUUUAUGCUGAAAUAUAUGUGUGAUCUUUUAUUUAAUGACCUACAAAAAAACUGCGUCAUAGAUUUGUUUAGAAAGUCGCGAGUAGUUUACUGCUGGAGUUGUCAGCUAGAAUUGUUUUGAAAUGUAAUAUGUAAUGUAUUUCACUUUAUCAUAAUAUUAAAUGUUAUUUAAUUGAUAAUAAAUAACUU